AAUUUGUGUAUGAAAGCUAGGAGUUCAUGAUUAAAUAUCUUGUUUUCCCUUACAGAUACUGUACGAGAAACAACUGCAGCUCAACAAGCGCUUUUGGUGGCUAAAAACAUUGACUUGUUUCCAACAAAUCAAGAACGUUUUACUGAAGGAAAUAUAGAUGUGUGGUGGAUUGUUCAUGAUGGUGGUAUGCUGAUGUUGCUGCCUUUUCUCCUUCGACAGCACAAGGUUUGGAGAAAAUGUAAAAUGCGUAUCUUCACCGUGGCUCAAAUGGAUGACAAUAGCAUUCAAAUGAAGAAGGAUCUUCAGAUGUUCUUAUACCACCUUCGACUGAAUGCUCAAGUGGAAGUUGUAGAAAUGGAUGGACUUGUCUAUGUCUCCAACUGCUGUAAGAAUACCUCUCUGGAAUAAGGAAUCCCUAGGCUCAAAUGAGAGUUGUUUUUGGCAUCGCCAGCCUCAGCCAGCACUGGACAGCAGGACAGUUUAGCUACAGUUUCACAAGUCAAGGUAGU
rnacentral:lncRNA from 12 species